GUUGACCAGAAGUUUAAAUAACAUGAUUUUUGAACACAGGAAAUCUUCAAGAUGCACAUUAGCCGUUCUUCUUCUGUGCCUUAUAGCUACCGUGUUGGCAAAACCCCAAAGUUAUGAAGAUCAAGAGGAUCGAAACGAUUUUGGAUCUCAAGAUGAAGUACCUAGAGUCCAGAUCAAGGUUUAUAGAGGACCAACGAAGCAUGAUGGGUUCGCGCCGUGGGGGUUCUGGGUGAAGCAACCAUCAGAUGACUGACCUAAACUCAUAAGUUAAUUAUUUUAAAUAUAGUACAUAGAUACUUUAUUGUUAAACUUAUACUGUAAGGCAAAUUAAUUUGUAUGUUAAAUUAUUAUUUAAUGUAUUGGCCAAUGUUGUCUGACCGAGUAACAUUAUUAAUUAUACCUAAGGAUCCAACUUA